rnacentral:tRNA from 1 species
GGCCUGCUGGCGCAAUUGGUUAGCGCGUCGAGCUAAUACAUCAUGUCUUGUGAUUGAAUACUCGAAGGCUCUGAGUUCAAGCCUCAGGUGGGCCA